GGCUGGUUCGAAGGUAGUGGCUGGUCUCACUUGAUUGUUCAUAGUCACUUACAGAUUGAACUCCUUGUUCUACUACUUUCCCGCCUUCUCACUACUGCCCUAGACUAGUCUUAA
rnacentral:Y_RNA from 1 species